rnacentral:rRNA from 1 species
GACGAACGCUGGCGGCGUGCUUAACACAUGCAAGUCGAGCGAGCGGCGGACGGGUGAGUAAUGUAUGGGGACUGCCCGAUAGAGGGGGAUAACUACUGGAAAAGGUAGCUAAUACCGCAUACUAUCGGAUAACCCAUAUGGGAUUAGCUAGUAGGUGGGGUAAUGGCUCACCUAGGCGACGAUCUCUCGCUGGUCUGAGAGGAUGAUCAGCAACACUGGGACUGAGACACGGCCCAGGGUCCUACGGAGGCAGCAGUGGGGGAUAUUGCACAAUGGGCGAAAGCCUGAUGCAGCGACGCCGCGUGGGGGAUGAAGGCUUUCGGGUUGUAAACCUCUUUCGCUAUCGAACGGGUAGGUGGAGAAGAAGCGCCGGCUAACUACGUGCCAGCAGCCGCGGUAAUUC